rnacentral:lncRNA from 1 species
GCCCGAGCCAGAUGGGGCUCGGGCGCGGGAUGGGCGGGGGCCUAACACACCCGCUCCCUGCUGCGCCCACACCCUGGCACCUCCCCACAGCCCCGCAUCGGACCCAAGGACAGUCCCAGGAGACGUGGGGGCGCUCACCCCUUUCGUGGACGGGAAACUGAGGCAGGCGGGUGAAGGUCGGCUCACAUGCGGAGCUCAGAAACCAGACCUCUGAGGGCCCCUUCCCCUCCCACCAUCCUCAGGAUCUGAAGCCCUGGUCCUCCCUCACUUUCUGUCCAGCACUGGAACCCCAAGGGACAGAGAGUGUGUGACAGCUCCUGCAGGAAGCUGGUCAGACAAGGAGAGUGCUGGGUUAAAGGGGAUAAAUUUGGAAGGUAUCCAGGGACCUGAUCAGGGAGGAUCGUGAGUCCCAAGGAGAGAAGUUUGGAUUUCUUCCUCCAGUCAUCAUGAAGCUUGGAGGGUUUGGGGGCAGCUGCCUUGGAAGGGCUGAAAAGAGGUGGACGGCACUGGUGAGACAAUCCCUUCCCCCCCCCUCUACCCGCCAGCCACAGAAGAAGGACUCCGCAGCUCUUGGAUACAGCACUUUAAUG